rnacentral:rRNA from 1 species
GUUGUGCGUCUCUAGCUAUGUUGAGACGCGGCAUACGGCUCAGUAACACGUGGCUAACCUACCCUCAGGACGGGGACAAACCCGGGAAACUGGGGCUAAUAUCCGAUAGGCGAGGAAUCCUGGAAUGGUUCUUCACCCAAAGGACACUGGAAACAUGCUUUCUCUGUCGCCUGGGGAUGGGGCCGCGUCCGAUCAGGUGGUUGGUGAGGUAAUGGCUCACCAAGCCUUUAACCGGUACGGGCCGUGAGAGCGGUAGCCCGGAGAUGGGUACUGAGACAAGGACCCAGGCCCUACGGGGCGCAGCAGUCGCGAAAACUCCGCAAUGCACGAAAGUGUGACGGGGCUACCCCGAGUGCCGUCCGCUGAGGAUGGCUUUUCCUUGGUGUAACUAGCCGGGGGAAUAAGGAGAGGGCAAGACUGGUGUCAGCCGCCGCGGUAAUACCAGCUCUCCGAGUGGUAGGGAUGAUUAUUGGGCUUAAAGCGUCCGUAGCCGGCUUAGCAAGUUUCCUGUUAAAUUCAGCGACCUAAUCGUUGAGCCGCGGGAAAUACUACUAGGCUAGGAGGCGGGAGAGGUCGACGGUACUUCUGGGGUAGGGGUGAAAUCCUAUAAUCCCGGGAGGACCACCAGUGGCGAAGGCUGUCGACUAGAACGCGCUCGACGGUGAGGGACGAAAGCUGGGGGAGCGAACCGGAUUAGAUACCCGGG